rnacentral:rRNA from 1 species
UACGGAGGGUGCGAGCGUUAAUCGGAAUUACUGGGCGUAAAGCGCAUGCAGGCGGAUGAUUAAGCCAGAUGUGAAAGCCCCGGGCUUAACCUGGGAAUAGCAUUUGGAACUGGUCAUCUAGAGUCUUGUAGAGGGGGGUAGAAUUUCAGGUGUAGCGGUGAAAUGCGUAGAGAUCUGAAGGAAUACCGGUGGCGAAGGCGGCCCCCUGGACAGAUACUGACACUCAGAUGCGAAAGCGUGGGGAGCAAACAGG